rnacentral:lncRNA from 1 species
CAACACAUGAGUGGGCUGCUUCAUCCACAGGCCCUAGCUGGUUAAUCUGACGAAAAGUCAGUUCUGCCUGAGUCAGUGGACUGCAACACCAGCACUUUCAUCUGCCCUGAGCUCCAUUUCUCCUUCAGCGCCUCUAGGAUUUCUGAGUCACCACAUUCCUUUCUUCUACAUUCUAUUACUGAGUUUCCUACACAAACCAUUAGCUGAGCUCCCUGCCGCCUGUCUCUCCAGAUCUUAUGUUCUUGGAAGUUUAAGUAAUCAUUUCUCAGAGAUGCUAUAAGAAGGUACCAGAAAUUGUGUAGCUUGAACAACAGAAAUCAAUGAUCUCAGAAUUCUGGAGGCUGGAAGCUCAAGGAUUUGGUGUCACCAGAGCUGACUCCCUCUGAAGGCUGUGAGAAUCUGUUCCCCACUUGUCGUCUACCUUCUGGAUUGCUUCUUAUCUUUGGUGUUCUUUGACUUGUAGGGGCAUCAUUCUGAUUGCCUUCAGUGUCACAGGCAUCCAUCCCUGUCCCCAUGACACCAAUAUUGCAUCCUUUUUAAUAAAGACAUCAGUAAUAGUGGG